rnacentral:lncRNA from 1 species
GCUAGCAAACGCACUCCAAUUUUUUGGCCUGUGCAUACUUUUUGUUUCUCCUUUAACAAAAGGAAUUAAGCAGUGAGACUUUGAUUUAAAAUGACUAGUGAUACAAACAUUCACUUGAGGAAGCAUCAAAGGCCGUGAUUCAGCUUCUAACAGAUGCCCGAUUUCUAGCUGGAACAUUCUCGUCAAGCAAAUUUGCAAAAGAGAAAAGUAACUGGGACUCUAUUUUCAAUAAAAGGAGUAAUGCAUCAAGUGCCUCUUGUACGACAUCCAGUAGCGC